UACGAAGGGGGCUAGCGUUGCUCGGAAUCACUGGGCGUAAAGCGCGCGUAGGCGGAUCAGGAAGUUGGGGGUGAAAUCCCGGGGCUCAACCCCGGAAUGGCCUUCAAAACUCCUGGUCUUGAGUUCGAGAGAGGUGAGUGGAAUUCCGAGUGUAGAGGUGAAAUUCGUAGAUAUUCGGAGGAACACCAGUGGCGAAGGCAGCUCACUGGCUCGACACUGACGCUGAGGUGCGAAAGCGUGGGGAGCAAACAGG
rnacentral:rRNA from 1 species